UUCAGGCCAUGUGGAUCAUCCCAAAACCAGUUGGAGUUGUCACAUGUCCUCCAAAAGGUGAAACUUUCUGUCUCGAAUCUCCACACGCAGAAUGGUUCACUUUCUUCAUUGAAUCGGGGAUGAUGCACUUUAUGACACAGCAACAACAAGGAUGGAAUGGAAAUUUAAUAUCCUUUUUCGUAAUCUCAUGUAAAUGUGUGUGGAGUUACUGACUACCAGCUUGUGUAACGUCAUCAUAGAGCCGUGGACAAACACACUUAUCUUCUGUAAGUGAAUUCUCCUGC